AUGUCAACAUUCAACAUGUGUAACACAGCUCCCCUUCCUUUUUAACAUUCGUCCCGAAUGUUGUGCAGAGUCUGGAGUGCCAAGAACAAGGUCAAUGGUGUUUACAGUCGUCAGGACAAGGUCUCCUGGAGAGGGCAUCAGCAUUGCCGUGGGAUUUCCCAGCUCUGUGUUCUACUUUGAAUUCAUACUGGGACAGAAACUGAAACCAACGGGCAAUUUGGCCUUCCGGAUUUUUAAAGUUUAGGAGCCAGGUUGGGCAAGAUCUGAUGCCUUUGAUGGAGAAGGAGGAUUGGAAACGGGUGUGGCCACCCUACCAUUCUCCAAGCUGUUAGGUGAAGACGGACGGGACUUAAAAGUUACUUCAAAACUUUCUUCGGCUUCCAUUUUGUACAA